AUGGAGAAGUCUGACCGAGCACGCCGCGUGAGUGAAGAAGGUUUUCGGAUCGUAAAACUCUGUUGUUAGAGAAGAACAAGGAUGAGAGUAACUGUUCAUCCCUUGACGGUAUCUAACCAGAAAGCCACGGCUAACUACGUGCCAGCAGCCGCGGUAAUACGUAGGUGGCAAGCGUUGUCCGGAUUUAUUGGGCGUAAAGCGAGCGCAGGCGGUUUCUUAAGUCUGAUGUGAAAGCCCCCGGCUCAACCGGGGAGGGUCAUUGGAAACUGGGAGACUUGAGUGCAGAAGAGGAGAGUGGAAUUCCAUGUGUAGCGGUGAAAUGCGUAGAUAUAUGGAGGAACACCAGUGGCGAAGGCGGCUCUCUGGUCUGUAACUGACGCUGAGGCUCGAAAGCGUGGGGAGCAAACAGGAUUAGAUACCCUGGUAGUCCACGCCGUAAACGAUGAGUGCUAAGUGUUGGAGGGUUUCCGCCCUUCAGUGCUGCAGCUAACGCAUUAAGCACUCCGCCUGGGGAGUACGACCCCAAGGUUGAAACUCAAAGGAAUUGACGGGGG
rnacentral:rRNA from 1 species